CACCAGACUCCUACGGGAGGCAGCAGUGGGGAAUAUUGCACAAUGGGGGAAACCCUGAUGCAGCGACGCCGCGUGAGCGAUGAAGUAUUUCGGUAUGUAAAGCUCUCUCAGCAGGGAAGAAGAUGACGGUACCUGACUAAGAAGCCCCGGCUAACUACGUGCCAGCAGCCGCGGUAAUACGUAGGGGGCAAGCGUUAUCCGGAUUUACUGGGUGUAAAGGGAGCGUAGACGGCGAUGCAAGCCAGAUGUGAAAGCCCGGGGCUCAACCCCGGGACUGCAUUUGGAACUGUGUGGCUGGAGUGUCGGAGAGGCAGGCGGAAUUCCUAGUGUAGCGGUGAAAUGCGUAGAUAUUAGGAGGAACACCAGUGGCGAAGGCGGCCUGCUGGACGAUGACUGACGUUGAGGCUCGAAAGCGUGGGGAGCAAACAGGAUUAGAUACCCUCGUAAU
rnacentral:rRNA from 1 species